UACAUGGGGUGCAAACGUUGCUCGGAAUCAUUGGGCGUAAAGCGCGCGUAGGCGGUUAUUUAAGUUGGAUGUGAAAGCCCUCGGCCUAACUGAGGAAGUGCAUCCAAAACUGAAUAGCUAGAGUACGAAAGAGGGUCGCGGAAUUCCCGGUGUAGAGGUGAAAUUCGUAGAUAUCGGGAGGAACACCGGUGGCGAAGGCGGCGGCCUGGGUCGAGACUGACGCUGAGGCGCGAAAGCGUGGGGAGCAAACAGG
rnacentral:rRNA from 1 species